CAAUAGCGUAUAUUAAAGUUGUUGCAGUUAAAAAGCUCGUAGUUGGACUUCUGCGGGUGGCGGCCGGUCGUGCUCGAAACGGGCGUGAACUUGGCGUGCUGCCCGCAUCUUUGGGGAGAUUGUGCGUGGCAUUAAGUUGUCGUGCAUGGGAUUCUCAUCAUUUACUGUGAAAAAAUUAGAGUGUUUAAAGCAGGCCUUUGCCUUGAAUACAUUAGCAUGGAAUAAUAAGAUAGGACCGUUGUCUAUUUUGUUGGUUUACAGAUGUCGGUAAUGAUUAAUAGGGAUAGUUGGGGGUAUUCGUAUUCAGUUGUCAGAGGUGGAAUUCUUGGAUUUUCGGAAGACGCACGACUGCGAAAGCAUUUACCAAGGAUGUUUUCAUUA
rnacentral:rRNA from 1 species